GAGACAGGGUCUCACUGAAUUGCUUAUCACCUCGCUUUUGCUGAGGCUGGCUAUGAACUCAUGAUCUUCCUGUAUCAGCCUCCCCAGCUGCUGGGAUUACAGCAAACUGAAGAGUAGUUGAUGAAUUAGACACUUGGACUCACCAGCACCAAGGCAGCUUGACUGACAGAGUAUUGCCAGAGAAAAUGGAGGCAGCCCAUUGUUUCCCCAAGACGCAGCACUCUGGCUACUAAGUCUAAUUCCCAACAGUCGCUACACAGGUGGGAACUGUUGGAUCCAUGGAUGAGAAGCCCACAGAGACAGAGGGCAACUAUAUUUUCCUGCUGAGAAGCUGAGCUCCACUGAAGUCAAACAAUCUGCCCAAGGUCACUCAGCCAACGUUCUAAAGCACCAGUGGCACCAAAGAGACACUAUAUUCUGAAAGCAAUCCU